GGAUGGCGAAGCUGAGUCACUGAGUUCUACUGAGACCGAACUUGCAUCACGUUCAUCAAGAUGUUCAAGCUUCUCCCACUUGUUUGGCUGACAUUCAUUCUUCUGGAGGUGGAGUGUGCUCCAAAUUUCAAGAGAAGAGAUGAAUCAGACUUGAGGGUUCAGCGACAGAGUUCCGACUGCUACGAUUUCAAGCCAAGAGUAUGCCAACAAUUGGUUCCAAGCGAUUGCGCAGCAUCUACCGUUCAGAGAGAUUGUGCAAGAACCUGUCAGAUGUGCGAUUAUCUUCUCGCCUAGAAGAACAGUCUGCGACAUUGUGACAAAUUAAGUUAAGAUUCUGUCAGUAAAGCGUUAUAACUGUAAAUUCAACUACAAUGUUACUUCGGGAGUAAAUCAUAAAGCUAAAUUUGGGAUGAAUAAAGAUACGCUUUAGAAGCUGGUCA